UACGGCUACAUCACGUUGAAACAUCGGUUCCUGUGCGAUCACCGAGUUAAGCAACGUCGAGCCUAGUCAGUACCUAGAAGGGUGACCGCUUGGGAAUACCAGUUG